GACAACGUCCAUACCACGUUGAAUACACCGGUUCUCGUCCGAUCACCGAAGUUAAGCAACAUCGGGCGCGGUCAGUACUUGGAUGGGUGACCGCCUGGGAACACCGCGUGACGUUGGCU
rnacentral:rRNA from 1 species